rnacentral:tRNA from 2 species
GGCUCGUUAGCUCAGUUGGUAGAGCAGCGGAUUGAAAAUCCGCGUGUCCGUGGUUCGAUUCCGCGACGAGCCACCA